rnacentral:rRNA from 1 species
GAUGAACGCUGGCGGCGUGCCUAAUACAUGCAAGUCGAGCGAACAGACGAGGAGCUUGCUCCUCUAACGUUAGCGGCGGACGGGUGAGUAACACGUGGAUAACCUACCUAUAAGACUGGGAUAACUUCGGGAAACCGGAGCUAAUACCGGAUAAUAUAUUGAACCGCAUGGUUCAAUAGUGAAAGACGGUUUUGCUGUCACUUAUAGAUGGAUCCGCGCCGCAUUAGCUAGUUGGUAAGGUAACAGCUUACCAAGGCAACGAUGCGUAGCCGACCUGAGAGGGUGAUCGGCCACACUGGAACUGAGACACGGUCCAGACUCCUACGGGAGGCAGCAGUAGGGAAUCUUCCGCAAUGGGCGAAAGCCUGACGGAGCAACGCCGCGUGAGUGAUGAAGGUCUUCGGAUCGUAAAACUCUGUUAUUAGGGAAGAACAAAUGUGCAAGUAACUAUGCACGUCUUGACGGUACCUAAUCAGAAAGCCACGGCUAACUACGUG